CUGACCAAGCAGCCGCCGUGGAGGAUGAAGAUGGACCUGAAGGCUCAAGUUUCGUGUGGGCCUGCUCCCCGGACGCACAACUCAACAAUUGAUAGACGCUGGAUUUACUCGUGAUGCUUAAUUUGGAUAAAAUGUAAUAGUUUAAGUAAUUCUGUAGCUUUACCCGAGGCUUUAGGAUUCAUGACUUACUGGUUGACGUUUAGUUUUUAUGCUCAGUGUGAUAAUCAAAUCGUGUUUGCUUGUGUUUCAUCGUCGUUUUGCAUUCUUCAUCAUUUUUCCUGCUCAUUUAUGCUUUUUCGCAAAUCUAAAUAAUGCAUAUAUGACAAUGAAUGUUUUGAAAAUAACGAUGUCGAUAUUCCUAAUUUUGAGUUCCCUGUC
rnacentral:lncRNA from 1 species